rnacentral:rRNA from 1 species
CAGCAGCCGCGGUAACACGGAGGGAGCUAGCGUUGUUCGGAAUUACUGGGCGUAAAGCGCGCGUAGGCGGUUACUCAAGUCAGAGGUGAAAGCCCGGGGCUCAACCCCGGAACUGCCUUUGAAACUAGGUGACUAGAAUCUUGGAGAGGUCAGUGGAAUUCCGAGUGUAGAGGUGAAAUUCGUAGAUAUUCGGAAGAACACCAGUGGCGAAGGCGACUGACUGGACAAGUAUUGACGCUGAGGUGCGAAAGCGUGGGGAGCAAACAGGAUUAGAUACCCCCGUAGUCCCUGUCUCUUAUAC